UCAUUAUCGAAUUUCGAGGGAAGGGGGGGACAGGUCGAGAUUGUCGCUGGCCCUUCGGGCAUGUGCACGUCUUUGCUUUCUCGUCCACCCUUUUCUCUUGUUCUCUCACACCUGUGCACACAUUGUAGGUCCUCGAAAGAGGAUCUAUGUUUUCAUCAUCACACACUACCUAUGUCUAGAAUGUAACCAAGAUCGUCGACCGCAAGGCCGGCGGUCUAACAAACAAAUACAACUUUCAGCAACGGAUCUCUUGGCUCUCGCAUCGAUGAAUAACGCAACGAAUUGCGAUAAUUAAUGUGAAUUGGAGAUUUUCAGUGAAUCAUCGAAUCUUUGAACGCACCUUGCGCUCCUCGGUAUUCCGAGGAGCAUGCCUGUUUGAGUGUCAUGUAAUUCUCAACCAUGUCUUGAUUGACACGGUUUGGACUUGGGGGUUGCUGGCUGCGAAAGCACUCGGCUCUCCUGAAAUGCAUUAGCGGCGGACAAAGCUUAGUCUGACAUGCACGGCCUCGACGUGAUAAUGAUCGUCGUCGCUGGAGCGUAGGACGAGCACGAAUAAAGUCUGUUUGCUUCCAAUCUUGGCUUUAGCUACUAGUUGGUGACGACGAACGCGGGCCUUUCUCAUGACUUGACCUCGAAUCAGGUAGGACUACCCGCUGAACUUAA
rnacentral:rRNA from 1 species